UAUCGGCUCUCACAACUCCAACCUGCAAAACACCAAAUAUUCUUGUGAUGGAUUGCUGAAACAUUUUACUUAAUACUAUAACACUAGUCACUACAAAUGUCAUCUCAUCAUGCCAGCAAAAUCCCAUAUUGUAAAUCCUAUUGAAAACAUGUGUGGAUUUACAAGAGCCAAAUUAAAAGCCACCACUGGAAAGAAUGAACAUACCUUUGAUGGUGAACACAUUAAAAUAUUUAAUAUUAGCAUCUUUCCAUUUUCAGAUAUUCUGAUACUAUCAUUAGUGACAGUUAACAUGAUAAAGGGAAAUAUUAAUACCUCAAUCUCAGUAGCCUUG
rnacentral:misc_RNA from 1 species